rnacentral:rRNA from 1 species
UACAGAGGGUGCGAGCGUUAAUCGGAAUUACUGGGCGUAAAGCGUGCGUAGACGGUUAUUUAAGUCGGGUGUGAAAGCCCCGGGCUCAACCUGGGAAUUGCAUUCGAGACUGAAUAGCUAGGGUACGGUAGAGGGAAGUGGAAUUUCCGGUGUAGCGGUGAAAUGCGUAGAUAUCGGAAGGAACAUCAGUGGCGAAAGCGGCAUCCUGGACCAACACUGACACUGAGGAGCGAAAGCCAGGGGAGCAAACGGG